GGGGAUUUAGCUCAGUGGUAGAGCGCUUGCCUGGCAAGCACAAGGCCCUGGGUUCGGUCCUCAGCUCCG
rnacentral:tRNA from 1 species